rnacentral:rRNA from 1 species
CCUACGGGGGGCAGCAGUGGGGAAUAUUGCACAAUGGGCGCAAGCCUGAUGCAGCCAUGCCGCGUGUAUGAAGAAGGCCUUCGGGUUGUAAAGUACUUUCAGCGGGGAGGAAGGUGUUGUGGUUAAUAACCACAGCAAUUGACGUUACCCGCAGAAGAAGCACCGGCUAACUCCGUGCCAGCAGCCGCGGUAAUACGGAGGGUGCAAGCGUUAAUCGGAAUUACUGGGCGUAAAGCGCACGCAGGCGGUCUGUCAAGUCGGAUGUGAAAUCCCCGGGCUCAACCUGGGAACUGCAUUCGAAACUGGCAGGCUAGAGUCUUGUAGAGGGGGGUAGAAUUCCAGGUGUAGCGGUGAAAUGCGUAGAGAUCUGGAGGAAUACCGGUGGCGAAGGCGGCCCCCUGGACAAAGACUGACGCUCAGGUGCGAAAGCGUGGGGAGCAAACAGGAUUAGAUACCCCGGUAGUC